rnacentral:rRNA from 1 species
AUUGAACGCUGGCGGCAGGCCUAACACAUGCAAGUCGAGCGGAUGAGGGUAGCUUGCUAUCUGAUUCAGCGGCGGACGGGUGAGUAAUGCCUAGGAAUCUGCCUGGUAGUGGGGGACAACGUUUCGAAAGGAACGCUAAUACCGCAUACGUCCUACGGGAGAAAGUGGGGGAUCUUCGGACCUCACGCUAUCAGAUGAGCCUAGGUACGAUUAGCUAGUUGGUGAGGUAAAGGCUCACCAAGGCGACGAUCGUUAACUGGUCUGAGAGGAUGAUCAGUCACACUGGAACUGAGACACGGUCCAGACUCCUACGGGAGGCAGCAGUGGGGAAUAUUGGACAAUGGGCGAAAGCCUGAUCCAGCCAUGCCGCGUGUGUGAAGAAGGUCUUCGGAUUGUAAAGCACUUUAAGUUGGGAGGAAGGGCAGUAAGUUAAUACCUUGCUGUUUUGACGUUACCAACAGAAUAAGCACCGGCUAACUUCGUGCCAGCAGCCGCAGUAAUAC